UAUCCGCGGUGCAACUGGGUGCGCACGCACCCGGCGUUUCCCGCCGCUCGCAGCGCCCACCCCACACGGCAGUUGCGGGGGUGGGGCCGGGGUUCGGUCCCGCACGGCCCCGGACACGCGCAGCACUCGGGGGUCUCCCGCUGCACAGGCCAGAGCCCUGCCCUGGCUCCUCCUAGGAGGGGAGCACAGCCUCCCCCCGCCCAGCAACGAGGCAGAAGCCGGCCCUGAUUCUCAGUCCGUUUUCCAGAGUCGCUUUUCACCCCAGGCCAGGCUGCCAGCCCUGAAUGAGGUGGGCCGGAGACUGAGCGGCCCUGUCGAAAAUAAGUAUUUGUUAAGCCUGCCUCCUAAUACAGUAGGAAGAACAAAGGGGACAUGCUUCUCACCCCACCAGCCUUCAGAGAGAUUAAGGAAACUUGAUUGGAAAGUUACCAUGUGUUUGUAG
rnacentral:lncRNA from 1 species